rnacentral:lncRNA from 1 species
CAUUGAAUCUUGGACCGUUACAGCUGCAAACAUGUAUGCAAUAUUAUUUUAUAUUAUUCUUAUUGGAAUUCAAUGUUGCCGUGUGAUGUACCGUUGCUAAGAGCUCACCCCUUUCGUUUCUCGUCACGGGUAUAAAAAGGGAGUCAGGGUUCCCAAAUUUAUCAUUUCAGUUUCGUAUUCCGUCUGGUUCGGUAGUGCGUCACAGUGUGUAAAGAAAUGAAUUUGUCGAUUAACAAAAUUAAUUGGUGUUACCAGUGUUUGGUUUUGUAAUUGAAUCUAAAGAAAUAGUGAUGGCUGGUGACGUUAUUAACGAGCGCUCUAACACCACUUUAUACAAGGUGGCAAAAUUCUUGAGGGACAUCAGAACGGGACUUAUGCGUCGGCCUAGGAUCCCGUUGUUUGUCCUGCACCAGGCCCCAAUGAUGGGAGCCUGGUGAUAUAAUGAAGAUAAUGCUUUUUGUGCAAUAUUUUCCCGAAAUAUCUUUUGUUAAAGAUGUUACUCAUAAAAGUUCUUGCAACCAAUUCCUGCUUUCAAUUUGGAGCUUUUUCAACUCAUCCUACCUGAAGAUUUGGAAGGUUCCACCACAAAUUCGGAAGUAAGGUCUACUGCGCUUCAAUACGAAGAUGGCGGUAGAUUACCAGUGAAAAUGAUGCACAAGAACCUUAGACUAUAACGGGGCUCCCUUAUAUGGCAUACCGUUGACUGUCACAUUACUAAUCCGCAUAAUAGACCAGGUAUAACUUGAUUGUGCAUAACAUUUAGUUCUAAAAUAUAAUCAUCAUUAACUUAUCAAGCACAACUUCUCUUCCAGUUUACCUUUAACAUCCAUAGACGCUCAGUUGGUUUCAUUUUAAAUUAGUACUGGUAUCUUUGAAAGCCCACCCAAUUUAAUUUGAUAUGAGACCUCAUAACUGCGAUUCUAUAUUCAAAUUGCUAAGUUGUUGUGCUUGAAAACUAAAUUGCAACAUAAUAAUAUGCUUGCCGAGGUUCUAAACGAUACCUUCGUUGGUUUUUACGAAAAACACUUCUUAUUUAUGCUAAAAAAUGAAUUAUGCACAUCCAAAUUAUUCAUAUUUUUUUAAGGAAUAUAUUAUGCGGAUUUGUAAUGAAAAUCAGUAAUUAUAUUGCUGGACAAAUUGGUUUACAAAUAAGAUACCGCAUGUGGUCAUAAAAUUGGGUAUUCGAUUUAUGCCACAUAAUCCAGUCCCGUUUUCACUCUCACAGAUGCUCUUUUAUAUUUAUUCGAAUCAAUAAUCAUAGUAUUUAAUUAUCUUUUUUCAUAUUUUACAAGCUUUGCGUACAUUGACAGCUUUGCGAAUUUUUGAAGCUUUGCGUUUGUUCUCUCGAAAUGAAGUUUGAAUGAAAAUUAUACUUUUGCUUUGAGUGUUGUUUUCCGUGUGAAUUUAAAUAUUAUAAUAUAGAUAAUAAUUAUUACAUUAAUCAAUUACAAUAAUUUAUCUUUAACACCUGGUUACUGAAAACCUAUUCAAUUCACUUUUUGUUUAU